rnacentral:lncRNA from 11 species
CCUGACCUGAGUUUGCAAAUCCUCUGCAGGGUUUUGGAGAAUUGCCAUAAGUUGAAAUCAAUGGCAAAUAACCAUAGAAUUAUAAAUGCUACUAUCAGAAUGCUGGGUUGGCUGCAGACUAAAACAAAAAACCCAACUCUUCGAAAGUCAGGUAAACAAGCAACAGGACAAUAUUUUCAAUAAUGGUAAGUGGCAAGGUCAUGAUGAAACUAUUAUCCCUUGGGG